CCCUGGGAGGGAGGCGAGGCAGGCCCUGGCCGGAACUCGGCCCCCGGUGGGCCCCGGGUGAACCCAGCUCCUCUGGAAAGCUUCCCAGGACCCCAGCUCCCAGCACAGCUGCCCCAGCGCUCGCCCCACCAGGUCCGGUGGAAGGCUUGGAUCUCCAACAAGCAUCCACCACCACCUGACUGAGAAGAAUUGAAGAGACAGGUGCUCAACGAAAACACAGGAGGCAGAAAUAGCACUAUCCCAGGCACGAUGCACACCUCCACCCCACCUGUCCCAUGCUAAGAAUUGAACCCAGGGCCUUAGCACUGAACUACAUCCUCAGUCCUUUCUAGGGUCUUGCUCAAUCAUUAAAUUGCACUCCAACUUGAGAUCCUCCUGCCUCAGCCUCCCAGAGUGCUGGGCUUAUAAGCAUGUGCCACCACACCCAGGUUCCAGCCAGGAUGCUUAUGAGGGACCUGAGCCACAUCCUCCCUGACAGCCUCACCCCACCUCUGCCUUCUGAAUCUGCUCUCCAAAACUAGAUAAAGCCCAAGUGCUCCUUUCCCUGGAGACGGCCACCACUUGCACCCCUCCACAUACAGCACAAUCCCUCUAGCAUCCUACAGAAUGUUCUCCAGAGUUUGCUUCUGCCUUCCCAGGGACUGCUUGUACCAUUCUCUACCAUCCACAGACUGGUUUCUUAUCACUUGGUUUUCCUGCUGAGCUCCUAAGAGUGGUUCAUUCUCACUUCCUAUCACCACUCUAGGCCGUGGCUCCAUCCCCGGAUCCUCUAGGUGCCUCUCACCUUGUAUUAGUCAGUGUUUACUAGAGAAACAAAUACAACACAAGAUAUACAAAUAUAUAAGACUUAACAAGAUUGGCUUACAAUGGCCACCUACAAAGUCAGAUGUGGAAGAGUGAAGUGUCUGUCUUCGUGCUAGAGACCGAAGGAUUCAGCUGAAGGUCUGGAGCUCACUGUAGUGUCCCAUGCAAGUCCAUAUCAGGAGGCCUAUAGGUCUGUGAUGAAAGGCUGAAGCAUCUGUGCCAGAAGCUGAAGACUGCUGGAAGCCAAGGUGAAGGUGAAGACUGGAGCUCCCCUGAAAAAACAGAAGCAGAUCCGUUCUUCAUCAUUUUCCCUUUACAUUGUCCAGGUGACAAGCCAUCCUAGGGUGUGGAAUUGCUGAGCCAAUUUAGUUAAGCUUCUCUUACUCAAGUUGACUCAAUCAACCAUCACACACCUGUUCUCACCCCCUUGACUUUUCUAGUAUUGGGCUCCCCCACCCCUUAUCUGCCCACAGCUCACACAUAGCCCAUGAGAGACCUUCAUAUUUAAGCAUGAUGGGGCUCCAGUUCCCAGCCAAGGCUGUGCAUGAGCAGAACAAGGUGAUAACCAGUAACUCCCCAGAGGCUUGGACAUUUCAACUCUGGAUCUCAUGAUCAUGUGCCAUGUGUGAGCAUUAUGAUGUAGGCCAAACCUGCAAAGCCUGAAACAGUCAUAUCCAUGAGCUGUCUAAGGAAAGCAGCCCCUCCCAUGCAGAAAGCAAACUCACUUUGCCAAAUGUAGGGGUCUCAACAAGGUAGAAGGGACCCAGAUCUGUCCAAGAACACAUAAUGUGAGGGCCCAGACCAGCUGGAAUAGCUCACCAAACAAGAAAAGAAAAACCACAGGUCACAGAUGCAGGAUGGAUGGUGGUGGUAGAAGGUUGAGGGCUGGGUAGGGUCCCACCAGGUUCCAGUAACUCUGCCUUGCCCUUGCAGGCCAAGGAACUGACAGGGCUCUCUCUGUUGCUAGGACUGGGUGCUGCACCAGGCCUAGGUUGCUUACAAUUCUGCCUACAGUCUUGGAAAUAGCAGUUUUAGUAAAUUCUCCUCAAAUUCUCCAAGCUUGAUAAGAACAGCUGUUUGCUUCUGGGAUCUUGAGUUCUGUUUGUAGAUGGGAACCCUGCAUGGGACUGGCAGGGCAAAGCAAUACCCAGUGGUGCUGAGAAAACCCAAAGUCCCACACGGUGGGGGUGAAUGGGUGUGGAUUUGGCCCAGCACCCCAGGACUGGCCCCUGGUAUCCUGGACAAGUGUUACCAUGUGUACACAAACAUCCAGGAAUGAAGUUGCAAACCAGAGGAGGAGGAGGCUAAGGGAGCUUUAUUGGAAAUAAGGAGAUGGAAAAGAGCUCCUGGAUUUCCAAGUGGGGUCCUGAGUGGGUGGCCUCAUGGCUCUCAAUUCAGAGCCAAUUAUAGAAAGCGGAGCAUAGAAAUUGCUCGACUGCAUAGUGGCCUCCAAUCACAGAUGGCUCUGUGGUUUUAAAAUGACCAAUUGGAACUCAGGCUUCUAACCCAGUUCUUCAAAAUGUAGGGUUUACAGGAAGCUGGGAUUUUAUUUAUUUAUUUAUUUAUUUAUUUAUUUAUAUUUUAUUUUUGGUACCGGGGUUGAACUUGGGUCCUUGCACUUUCAAGGCAGGUGGCGGAACCACUGAGCUAAAUCCCGGGCCCUGAAGCUGAGCUCUUAGAGAAAAAAAAUGGUUAUUUUGGAUUUUAAAUUUCUCAAAAAUCUGGAGCUUAGUGGGGAGUGUACCUCCCUUUAGUAGGAACAGAUCUGUAUCCCAUGUUGCCUAAGGAAGUUCCUCCUUGGUCGAAAGUCCUACCUAGCUCACUGUGUUUUCUUUUUUCUUUUCUUUUCUUCUUUUUUUUUGAAACAAGGUCUCACUAUGCAAGUCAGGCUGGCUUUAAACUCACUAUGUAGUCUAGGCUGCCCUCCAGCUCUCAGUGAUCCUGCCGCUCAGCCUCAGCCUCCCAAAUGCUAGGAUUACAGACGCGCAGCACCACACUGGGCCUGUCUAUUCUUAUUUUAAUGCUUAUCAGUGUGGCUGAUCACUCAACUCUGUUUCAGGCCCUUCCCCUAAGUAGCUGCCUUAUUUAUACACUAAUGAUUCCUUUCAUAGUUGUUUUUUGGUGUUUUUUUUUUUUUGGUACCAGGGAUCGACCUCAGGACCUUGCGAUUGCAAGGCAGGCAACAGCGUCACUGAGCUAAAUCCCCAGCCCUUUAUAAGCUAAUGAAAUAAACUAUUUUCUACACGUGGGCCUUUGCCAUUCCUCACCAGUAUCUGGGCUCUUUUUCCUCAUCUGGGACAGAGGACGUACCAAACACUUUCCCAGCUUCCUGUGCCCAGGGAAAGGGCUUUUGCCCUAGGUCUAGCCAAUUGGAUGUUCUGCAGUUUGUUGGGUGACCAGCACUGCUAUUAUAGACAGCUGAGUUAGUUAAAAUACUGUAGGCAGUCAGACAGGGCUGGGCCUCCAAGAGAGUCAAAGCAGAAGAUAAGAACAUAUUAAACUGUGCUAGAGACACAUUUAGUUGAAGGCCAGGCUUCAAAACAAAGAAAAAUGACUACUCCCGCAUACUUCCCCUAGGGAUGAACAGCAGUGAUUCAUAUUCUAAGUAGGCAUCAGUCACCUUGAGUGGGGAACCAAAACUUCCCUAACCCAUUCCUUCCCAGAAAAUCCUUGUUUAUUCCAUGUACGCUUGCUACCUGGCUUGCUUCCCAUUUGGUUCCCCAUUUAAUCAAUAUUACCUAAGUGACUAUACUAGUAAUCUUAUUAGUUGACCAUAGUUUUGUCCCACCUCAUACCUACCUUGUGAUUUUCCAUUGGAUCAAUAUUACCUGAGUGACCAUACUUAUAAUCCUAUUGGUUGACUGUAGCUUUGUCCCACCCUGUACCCACCCCCCCACCUUGUGGCUUUGCUCUAUAAAUCUCCAUUGUUCCUAGAAUUCAUUCUUUGAUUAUAGAGGACACAAACUAGGUGAUGUGGACAUCUCCCAGGUUGAGAGUUAUAAUAUUUCCCUUAUAUUAUUUGGAGGGCCUUAUAGCAUCCCUGUAUCAUACGCCCUAUAUCACUAGGGCAAUAGAGACUCUGCUUUGGUGGUGUCUCCAAAGUCCUAGGCAAGGUUGGGGUCCCAAGAGCCCAGAUUCAGUUAUUAGUCUCCUUGAAAGUCCAAUCAGAGAAAAGUAGCAGUGAAGCAGCAAAGCAAUAGGCUCAGUAUGGCUGAGGUAGUGAUAUAGGAGAAAUAUAAUUCUCAACCUGCUAGAAGUCAGAUUAUUAUAGACAGAUGAAUUAGGCAGAAAUAUUAUAGGCAGUCAGAUAGGGCUAGGUCCUCAGGAGAGUCCAGACAAAGGUGAAACACACCACAGCUGCCAUCGGAAACACCGUUGUUGGAGACCGAACCUCAAGAUAAAGACAAGAUGACCAGACCUCCAUACUUCCUCAAAGAAUAAACACUGGGCCUAAGAGGUCUAAAUAGAUAGACAUCAGCCACCCUGGUAGGUAACCAGAGACCUCUGGACCCAUUUCCUAGGAGAAUCUUUGUUCUUUCCAUCCACGCUUGUUUCGUGACUUGUUUCCCGAUUGGACCACUAUUAGCUAAGUCACUAUAUUUGUAACCUUAUCGGAUGAUCGUGGCUGUGGCCCACAUUGUACCCAUGUGGGUUUCACUCUACAAAAUUCCCCUGUAGAGUGGAGUCCCCAGAUACCCACUCGGGUCCCCUUUUGCCUCUCAGGAGCUCUCCUAUCAAUAAAUACCUUCCUACUUUUAACCUUUGUUAUUCCUAGAAUUCAUUCUUAGAGUUUUAGAAAACACAACCUUGGCAUAUCAGACAGCUAACAGGUUGAGAGAUAUAAUAUUUCAUAUUUCUUUUUUGGGGGGAGUACCAGGGAUUAAACUCAGGACCUUGCACUUUCGAGGCAGGCGAGGCACCACUGAGCUAAAUCCCCAGCCCUUAUAAUAUUUUAUAUUUCAUCUCUGAUAUUAGUUCCUAUAUGAAGAUGUGCUGAGUUCAUGUGAUCCCAGUGCUUGGGAGGCUGAGGCAGGAGGAUUGCCCCAAGUUCAAGGCCAGCCUGGGCUACAUAGUGAGUUCAAGGCCACCCUGACUAUAUAAUGAGACCCUAUCUCAAAAAACAAAACAAAAUAAAAUAUUCAAUUUUGUUUUAAAAAAAAAGUGAUUAAGUUUCUUACUUCAGCCUUGGAAACCCUCAGAUCCAACCAGGUUACAUAGCCAAACUAGGAAGGAAGAAGGGGAAAGCCCUGUCACUGGGGGACUGACAAGAACUAUAGGUGUCUAGGGCCAGGGAUUAGCUCAGUGGCAUAGCGCCUGCCUAGCAAGUGUGAGGUCCUGAGUUCGAUCCUUGGUACCAAAAAAAAAAAGAACUAUAGGUGUCUAUAGAAGAAGAAUUAGUAUAGUUAGAAACAGGGGGCCGGGGAUUUAGCUCAGUGGUUUUGCCAUCUGCCUUGCAAGCAAAAGGGCUUGAGUUCGAUCCCCAGUACAAAAACAAAAAAACAAAAAAAUAGAAACAGAGGAGCUGAAAGUCACUCACUUCCCUCCAUUUAACUGUAAACAGCACCCUACAGUUAUCCCUGCUUCUGUUAUACUAAGAGAAGUAGAAAAUAAAAUAACAAAAGCAGAGCACUGAUGGCACCAAGAGAGUUUCAGUGGGAGGCACCUAAAGCCUAAGGACACUGAGGUAUCUGGCCUUGAAUUCUGAAAGACCUGAGUUAUCAGCCCUCUUUUCUCUUUUCUCUUUUUCUUGUUGCUGCUGUCACCUUUCCUGUGAUCUUCAAUAAACGUAGCUACUUGUUACUUA